rnacentral:rRNA from 1 species
ACGAAGGGUGCAAGCGUUAAUCGGAAUUACUGGGCGUAAAGGGUGCGUAGGUGGUUUUUUAAGUCUGCUGUGAAAUCCCCGGGCUCAACCUGGGAAUUGCAGUGGAUACUGGAUCACUAGAGUGUGGUAGAGGGAUGCGGAAUUUCUGGUGUAGCAGUGAAAUGCGUAGAUAUCGGAAGGAACACCAGUGGCGAAAGCGGCUUCCUGGUCCGACACCGACGUUCAGGCACGAAAGCGUGGGGAGCAAACAGGA